rnacentral:rRNA from 1 species
GGGCAGCACGAUGUAGCAAUACAUUGGUGGCGACCGGCGCACGGGUGAGUAACGCGUAUGCAACCUACCUAUCAGAGGGGAAUAACCCGGCGAAAGUCGGACUAAUACCGCAUAAAACAGGGGUUCCACAUGGAAAUAUUUGUUAAAGAAUUAUCGCUGAUAGAUGGGCAUGCGUUCCAUUAGAUAGUUGGUGAGGUAACGGCUCACCAAGUCCACGAUGGAUAGGGGUUCUGAGAGGAAGGUCCCCCACACUGGUACUGAGACACGGACCAGACUCCUACGGGAGGCAGCAGUGAGGAAUAUUGGUCAAUGGGCGAGAGCCUGAACCAGCCAAGUCGCGUGAAGGAUGAAGGAUCUAUGGUUUGUAAACUUCUUUUAUAUGGGAAUAAAGUGAGGAACGUGUUCCUUUUUGUAUGUACCAUAUGAAUAAGCAUCGGCUAACUCCGUGCCAGCAGCCGCGGUAAUACGGAGGAUGCGAGCGUUAUCCGGAUUUAUUGGGUUUAAAGGGUGCGUAGGUGGUUAAUUAAGUCAGCGGUGAAAGUUUGUGGCUCAACCAUAAAAUUGCCGUUGAAACUGGUUGACUUGAGUAUAUUUGAGGUAGGCGGAAUGCGUGGUGUAGCGGUGAAAUGCAUAGAUAUCACGCAGAACUCCGAUUGCGAAGGCAGCUUACUAAACUAUAACUGACACU